rnacentral:rRNA from 1 species
GAUGAACGCUGGCGGCGUGCCUAACACAUGCAAGUCGAGCGAAGCACUUACUUUAGCUUUCUUCGGAAUGACGAAGUUUGUGACUGAGCGGCGGACGGGUGAGUAACGCGUGGGCAACCUGCCCUGUACAGGGGGAUAACAGUUAGAAAUGACUGCUAAUACCGCAUAAGCCCACAGCUUCGCAUGAAGCAGUGGGAAAAACUCCGGUGGUACAGGAUGGGCCCGCGUCUGAUUAGCUAGUUGGUAAGGUAACGGCUUACCAAGGCGACGAUCAGUAGCCGACCUGAGAGGGGGACCGGCCACAUUGGGACUGAGACACGGCCCAAACUCCUACGGGAGGCAGCAGUGGGGAAUAUUGCACAAUGGGGGAAACCCUGAUGCAGCGACGCCGCGUGAGCGAUGAAGUAUUUCGGUAUGUAAAGCUCUAUCAGCAGGGAAGAAAGUGACGGUACCUGACUAAGAAGCCCCGGCUAACUACGUG